CAAUCCUUGAAGGAAGUAUUAAGUUGCACUGAAAGUGUUCCAUUUGCAUUCAAAGAAGUGGUUUUCCAGGAAAAAAAAGUCUGCAGAAAAAAAAAAAAAAAAAAAAAACAGAAGGAGAAAGAAACCCUUCUACCCUUCUACCUAUGGUUCUUGGGAGAAAAGAAAAAAAAUAUUUAAAAAAGAAGAAUGAAAGAAAAAGCCUGCAGUCCAUGCCCAAGAAAGGAGCAAGAGAGACACCAAGGGUGAUACCUUCUCUCAAAGAUGAUAAUGGAAUGGAGAAUCCAUUCCUGUUUUUCUGAUUAAAUUUUCUAGCAUCAAAUUGAUAGUGAAGAGAUUUUCAGAUGUGAUCCAGAUUCAACAGAAGACUUUGGAUGUUCAAUAAAUAAGAAAUCUGUUUGUGAAAGGUGAGUUUC
rnacentral:lncRNA from 1 species